rnacentral:misc_RNA from 1 species
UACAGAGACCUCGAGCGUUAUCCGGAUUUAUUGGGUGUAAAGGGUCCGCAGGCGGCCCUGCGCGUCGCAUGUCAAAUCUUCGAGCUCAACUCGGAGGCUGCGUGCGAUACGGCAGGGCUAGAGGCUGGGAGAGGUGCACGGAAUUACCGGUGUAGCGGUAAAAUGCGUUAAUAUCGGUAAGAACACCAAAGGCGAAGGCAGUGCACUGGAACAGUUCUGACGCUCAGGGACGAAAGCGUGGGUAGCGAAAGGG